GAUGAACGCUAGCUACAGGCUUAACACAUGCAAGUCGAGGGACCGGCGCACGGGUGAGUCACACGUAUCCAACCUGCCCUUUACUCGGGGAUAGCCUUUCGAAAGAAAGUUUAAUACCCUAUAUAAAGGAUGGGGAUGCGUUCCAUUAGGUUGUUGGUGAGGUAACGGAUCACCAAGCCUUGGAUGGAUAGGGGUUCUGAGAGGGAGGUCACCGACAUUGGAACAGAGACAAGGUCCAAACUCCUACGGGAGGCAGGAGUGAGGAAUAUUGGUAAAUGAGUGCUAGCCUGAAACAGCCAAGUAGCGUGGAGGAUGAAGGCUUAUGGGUCGUAAACUUCUUUUAUAUAUGAAUAGGUAUUAGAUGAAUAAGGAUCGGCUAACUCCGUGCCAGCAGCCGCGGUAAUUC
rnacentral:rRNA from 1 species